UGCAUAUCAAAAAGCGGAGGAAAAGAAACCAACAGGGAUUGCCUCAGUAACGGCGAGUGAAGCGGCAAAAGCUCAAAUUUGAAAUCUAGCACCUUCGGUGUUCGAGUUGUAAUUUGAAGAUGGUAACCUUGGGUUUGGCUCUUGUCUAUGUUCCUUGGAACAGGACGUCAUAGAGGGUGAGAAUCCCGUCUGAUGAGAUGCCCAUUCCUAUGUAAGGUGCUAUCGAAGAGUCGAGUUGUUUGGGAAUGCAGCUCUAAGUGGGUGGUAAAUUCCAUCUAAAGCUAAAUAUUGGCGAGAGACCGAUAGCGAACAAGUACAGUGAUGGAAAGAUGAAAAGAACUUUGAAAAGAGAGUGAAAAAGUACGUGAAAUUGUUGAAAGGGAAGGGCAUUAGAUCAGACUUGGUGUUUUACGAUUAUCUUCUCUUCUUGAGUUGUGCACUCGUAUUUCACUGGGCCAGCAUCGAUUCGGAUGGCAAGAUAAUGGCAGUUGAAUGUGGCUUCACUUCGGUGGAGUGUUAUAGCUUCUGCUGAUAUUGCCUGUCUGGAUCGAGGGCUGCGUCUUGACUAGGAUGCUG
rnacentral:rRNA from 1 species